rnacentral:tRNA from 1 species
GGCCUCGUCGUCUAAUCUGGUUAGGACGCUAGGUUUUCAUCCUAGAAAUACGGGUUCAAAUCCCGUCGAGGUCGCAA